rnacentral:lncRNA from 1 species
CGGCACUUCAUAAUGGGUAACAUAGGGGAGUAAACAUGGCUAACCUAGAGGAUAUUCACAAUAUGACCAUAAACUUUCCUUCCAUGAACGAGGAGUUUGAUGUUUUAUCUACGAAGGAAGUUUAUCUAAUAAUGAUCAUCGUGUUUGAAAGAAUGGAAGUGGGUAUAUUAAACAAGGGUGAGUUAAAUAGAUUUUUAAGGUGGAAGAGAAACUUAAACAAGAGAAAGAUAAAUAUGAAAGCUCAAGUUGAACAUUUUGAAAUUAGAAGAAAAUUGGGUUUAUUGAUUGAAAGACUCAAGAAUGAGUCUUAUUCAAAACUAGAUUUCUUCAUGGGGUAUGUAAGCAAAAUGAAAUCCGCAAGCUUAAAGUUGAAGAGAUUGAGAAAGAGAAUAGAGCCUUGGGUAAAUUUCCAAUGGAAAAUAUUGUUACACCUAAUGUGGUAUCAAAAGAAUAAAGGAAGUCAAACUCAAUCGUUUAAGAAAAAGGUUAAAAAAGCAAGACUUAUAAAAAGGAAAGGCUUAAACGACUCUUUCUAAAGUCAAACACAUCAACCUAGUGCCGUUAGAGUUCCAAAUGAUGUAAAGGAAACUUGUUAUUACACCAUUAAAGGACCACAUGCAAAAUCAAUGUAUAUAUACGCAAUUCGUUGCGUCCCAACAAGGAAAUAUGUCUCAUAACCACCUCAAGUUUUUGCUAGGUCUCAAAAUGCAACAAACAAAAAACAUGAUGGAAAUGCAAUGUUAAAUGCUCAGAAUCCAUGUGAUGUGAAACUGCCAACUCUCACAAGGGCCUUUAAAGGAAGAAAUACUUAAUAUAGGGGGUCUUUUAUGAAUUUGGAGGUUGAAUUCCAAAUUCUAUGGCCAACAUAGAAACUUUGGAUUAGGAUAAAAGGGCUUUAUUUUAUUAAUUAAGACAAAUUAUCAAUGUUAAAUUGUAAGCCUCAUUCAAGCGUAGUGAGAAUUUAAAGUCAAAUCAUAAGAAUAGAAACCUAAUAAGGUGAAAUUGGUUUGCCUGUCAAAGGCUAACUUAUGUAGACAGGCUUACAAAUUUAUUUCAUUUUACUUAUCUGGAGUGACGGAGAGUAACGAGGAAGAGUUAGAUUGCUCUUCUGCUGCAUAUUUUUUUUUUUAAUUUAGAAUGUUUAAUUAUAUUCCUUUUAAAGGCAUAAAUUAUAAUUACACUCCUCUAAAAACUUACAAUGAUUGGGUGGUUAACAAUUUUACGUGAUUGAAUUAAUGUUGGGCAGAGUAUGUCUAAUUCUCCUCAGGAACAGGUACAUAUAGAGUAGCUUCUUUUUUAGCAAAAUUAUAUCUUUCACUUAAAUAUUUAGUUUGGCUGAUACGUAUCUCGUAUCUCCUAUAAAAGUUUCUAUUGCUUUGUCUUUGUAUUUUAUCUAAAACUUCCUUGAGAUCACUAACAAGACAUUGCUAUUGGCUUUACAGCUGUUGGAGUUGGAUUUACUUCUGCUUUGAUAUCCUUUUAAGUUGAUACUAAUUCAUCUACGUGUAGCAUGCUUAAGCAAUUUACUUUUACUCUGAGAAUGUUAGUGAACCCUUAACCCCCAGAAACUUUUUAAGUAUGCUGGUUUAGUUAUUGACAAGUGAGUACUGGACUUAUUUUUUCUGCUCAUCUUGCAGUUUGCAUCUAAUCUGUUGUGAACUACCCUAAUCAAAGUAUUGGUUUGACAUGCUCUCUGCAGUCUUCAGAACUUGGAGUGCUGCCUUUUUGUCGUGUUCCCAUAUUUCUCGUAAGUCAUUACCAGCCUUAUUAGUCUUGUCAUGUGCAAUUGAUUUCAGUUGUCCCUUAUCCUGAGCACGUGUCUUAAUGUGUACAAUCUUCUUUUUCUUUUCAGGUACAUGCUAGCUGAAGGCCUUGGCCUCUCUGGUAUUGUAUCGAUAUUGUUCACUGGAAUCGUAAGCAAUAAAUGAUUAUACAUUUUUUUUCCAUUGUUGUUGCCCAUCCUUUGUUGUUGCAUUGUAAUUGAGUUGGUUAUGUGUUGUUUUAGGUAAUGAAGCACUACACAUUCUCCAAUUUGUCAGACAAUUCUCAGCGAUUUGUAUCUGUUUUUUUUCCAUCUGAUAUCAUCACUAGCAGAAACAUUUGUGUAAGGGAGCAUUUCAUUAUUUACAUUAAGCAGUGUUAAAUUUUUAUUCACUUCUUCUGGCCCACCCCUCUUUAAGGAUUUUGUUUCCAUUACCAUCUGUCCACCACAUUGAUAUGCAAGUAUAAGAAAUGCAGGACAAAGCCAAGCCAAUUCUAAAACUAAGAUUUGUGCAAUCAAUUUUGGGCUCACCUGCAAUGGUACUAGGUCCGGCCUCGCUGGUGCUCGGUCUGUCCUCGUCGAUGCUCAAUUGCCAGUGAAUGUCGUAGGACAAGGCCAUUUCGUCAUCUACAUCUAGCUCUGGCGCCUCCAUAAAGGUACUUGACUGCAUCAAUUCAAAAUGCGCAUCCGAUUCAUAGCACCCGAGGCGAUUCGUUUGAGACUAAGGAGGGCCACAGA